UACAGGGGGUGCAAACGUUGCUCGGAAUUAUUGGGCGUAAAGAGCUCGUAGGCGGUGUGUCGCGUCGGCCGUGAAAACCUGCAGCUUAACUGUGGGCUUGCGGUCGAUACGGGCAUCACUGGAGUUCGGCAGGGGAGACUGGAAUUCCUGGUGUAGCGGUGAAAUGCGCAGAUAUCAGGAGGAACACCGGUGGCGAAGGCGGGUCUCUGGGCCGAUACUGAUGCUGAGGAGCGAAAGCGUGGGGAGCGAACAGG
rnacentral:rRNA from 1 species